UGGGGAAUUUUGGACAAUGGGCGCAAGCCUGAUCCAGCAAUGCCGCGUGCAGGAUGAAGGCCUUCGGGUUGUAAACUGCUUUUGUACGGAGCGAAAAGGUCUGCCCUAAUACGGUGGGCUCAUGACGGUACCGUAAGAAUAAGCACCGGCUAACUACGUGCCAGCAGCCGCGGUAAUACGUAGGGCGCGAGCGUUAAUCGGAAUUACUGGGCGUAAAGCGUGCGCAGGCGGUUAUAUAAGACAGAUGUGAAAUCCCCGGGCUCAACCUGGGACCUGCAUUUGGAACUGUAUAGCUAGAGUACGGUAGGGGGGGAGGGAAUUCCGCGUGUAGCAGUGAAAUGCGUAGAUAUGCGGAGGAACAACGAUGGCGAAGGCAAUCCCCUGGGCCUGUACUGACGCUCGUGCACGAAAGCGUGGGGAGCAAACA
rnacentral:rRNA from 1 species